rnacentral:rRNA from 1 species
AACGAACGCUGGCGGCGUGCCUAACACAUGCAAGUCGGACGCGAAAGAGGGCUUCGGUUCUCGAGUAGAGUGGCGCACGGGUGAGUAACGCGUAGAUAAUCUGUCCUUGUGUCUGGAAUAAUACGUCGAAAGGUGUACUAAUACCGGAUAUUCUUGCUUUUCAUACGAUAGGUAAGCAAAGGUGGCCUCUGACAUAAGCUACUGCAUGGGGAGGAGUCUGCGUACCAUUAGCUAGUAGGUGGGGUAAAGGCCUACCUAGGCUUCGAUGGUUAACGGGUCUGAGAGGAUGAUCCGUCACACUGGCACUGGAACACGGGCCAGACUCCUACGGGAGGCUG